rnacentral:rRNA from 1 species
CCUACGGGUGGCAGCAGUGGGGAAUAUUGGGCAAUGGGCGCAAGCCUGACCCAGCAACGCCGCGUGAAGGAAGAAGGCUUUCGGGUUGUAAACUUCUUUUCUGAGGGACGAAGAAAGUGAUGGUACCUCAGGAAUAAGCCACGGCUAACUACGUGCCAGCCGCCGCGGUACUACGUAGGUGGCAAGUGUUAUCCGGAUUUAUUGGGUGUAAAGGGCGUGUAGGCGGGAAAGCAAGUCCGUUGUGAAAACUCAGGGCUCAACCCUGGGCCUGCAUUUGAAACUGUUUUGCUUGAGUGCUGGAGAGGUAAGCGGAAGUCCGGGUGUAGCGGUGAAAUGCGUAGAUAUAAGGAGGAACACCGGUGGCGAAGGCGGAUUGCUGGACAGUAACUGACGCUGAGGCGCGAAAGCGUGGGGAGCAAACAGGAUUAGAUACCCUGGUAGUC